rnacentral:rRNA from 1 species
CCCUUAGAUGUUCUGGGCUGCACGCGCGCUACACUGAAGCGUUCAACGAGUAUUCACCUUGCCCGGGAGGGUUGGGUAAUCUUUUGAAAACGCUUCGUGAUGGGGAUAGAUUAUUGCAAUUAUUAAUCUUCAACGAGGAAUUCCUAGUAAGCGCGAGUCAUCAGCUCGUGCUGAUUACGUCCCUGCCCUUUGUACACACCGCCCGUCGCUCCUACCGAUUGAAUGGUCCGGUGAAAUCUCGGGACGGCGGCUUGGUCGCUUGCGUCCGACUGCUGAAACUUGAUUAAACCAUAUCAUUUAGAGGAAGGUGAAGUCGUAACA